AAUUUUUGUCAGUGAAUAUGUAAUUUAUUCACUUUUAUGAAAGGGAAAAGAAGAGUAAUGAAUCAUUUAAGCAUUUCAGACAUGGCAUGACAACAGGUGCACAGUUUUCCUGACAGUACACUGUAAAGUGUCUAGCCUGUGUAAGUUAGUGGAGGAACUGUGCUGGGAGGGAAGGAAGAAACUAGACAGAUGAAAGGUAAAGUUGGCUGUCGUAGAAAACUCCUGUGAUGCAAAAAUACUUCUGUUCACCUAGUUAGACUAAUCACUAGACAAAAAUGACUAGCAAUUUAGAUCUCCUAUUUCCAAACACGUUUAAAUUCUCUAAGUUGCUACACAAAAAUGUGGACACAGAGAUGUGCAGAUAAAUUUAAAGAAAUGGCAGAUUAUUCAAUAAGAAGCAAAUAAUGAAGUGCUUAAUAGAGUCCUUCUGACUGUUUGGUGACAUCACAUUUUAGGCACCUAGGAAACAAGCCAGACUAGUCAUGGACUCAUAAACAAUGGUUAUCUUCUGCUGUUUCUGCUGCCACUGUUCACAUUUUAUAUAGUAUCUUCGUGGUUUUAAUACCAACAAGUCAAACAGACCUUUUGCAGUCUGGAACUCAGAGGGAACAUUUGUGCUUAUGUCUUAUGUUCAUAAAUCUCUCCUUUAUUGGAUGUCUCUCCUGCAGAGAAAGAUGGACCACAGCAGAAGACAAAUACCACUACCGAAGACUGGAGUGACUGAAGUGUAACAGAGGUGAUAUGAGGUGGAAGGCCUAAAUAUAAGACAGGACAGGCACUGACUUUGACAUGGAUGGUUUUGACCAUCCUCAUCUGACUCAGGAUUUGCUCAAUGAGCUCUCUUAGCUUGGUGCUUUAUGUAUUCUUUUCACAGGUGAAGAAAUUCUGUCUGAAUGUUUCAAAAACCCCUUGCAUACUGGGGAGUUAAUUGAGAAAGCUUAAGUUAAAUAAGUGCAGAGAUUUAACGCAUUGAUGAACUAGGUUAUCAGCUGAUAUCCCAAUUGUCUGAAAUAUUCAUCUAUCUGAACAGCAUGUAGAAGUUGUGUUCAUUCCCACAAUUGUUCAGCUUUUUACCAAUCAUGCGGUUUUAGCCACAGUAAUAAUUCAUUUGGAAGACCUUGGAGACAAACAUUAUUCAAAUCACUUGAUCCAUUUACUAUGUUGUUGAAAAGUGAACAAGAGCACUGUUUGACGUAUCUUUUCCUUUCCUUUUUUUUUUUUUUAUCAUGAAUUGAGGAAUUGAGUUAGGGAAUUUUUAUACAAGCCCAACUACAUAAGGACACUGAGAAGUUCUACAGUAGAAGGAGCAAAAAAAUAAGGAAUGUGAUCUUUUUAAAUAACUAAUUUUCUGGUUAGUUGGCUGAACUUGAAAACCGAAAAGAAAAAUCCAGUCAGAUAAGUGAAGAUUAUAUAUAUAUAAAUAAAAACUUAAUAUGGGGGAAAAAAAUAUGUGUU
rnacentral:lncRNA from 1 species